GACCCUGUAGCUCAAUUGAAUAGAGCAACUGCUUACGAAGCAGAAGGUUACAGGUUUAAAUCCUGUCAGGGUCA
rfam:Flavobacterium sp. Leaf359 contig_5, whole genome shotgun sequence.